rnacentral:rRNA from 1 species
CCUACGGGAGGCAGCAGUCGAGAAUCAUUCACAAUGGGGGAAACCCUGAUGGUGCGACGCCGCGUGGGGGAAUGAAGGUCUUCGGAUUGUAAACCCCUGUCAUGUGGGAGCAAAUUAAAAAGAUAGUACCACAAGAGGAAGAGACGGCUAACUCUGUGCCAGCAGCCGCGGUAAUACAGGGGUCUCAAGCGUUGUUCGGAAUCACGGGGCGUAAAGGGUGCGUAGGCUGUUUCGUAAGUCGUGUGUGAAAGGCGCGGGCUCAACCCGCGGACGGCACAUGAUACUGCGAGACUAGAGUAAGGGAGGGGGAAGCGGAAUGCUCGGUGUAGCAGUGAAAUGCGUAGAUAUCGAGAGGAACACUCGUGGCGAAGGCGGGUUCCUGGACAGUAACUGACGCUGAGGCACGAAGGCCAGGGGAGCGAAAGGGAUUAGAUACCCGGGUAGUC